UACGGAGGGUGCAAGCGUUAAUCGGAAUCACUGGGCGUAAAGCGCGCGUAGGCGGUUUGUCAAGUCAGAUGUGAAAGCCCAGGGCUCAACCCUGGAACUGCAUUUGAUACUGGCAGACUAGAAUUUGGUAGAGGGAAGUGGAAUUCCGAGUGUAGCGGUGAAAUGCGUAGAUAUUCGGAGGAACAUCAAUGGCGAAGGCAACUUCCUGGGCCAAAAUUGACGCUGAGGUGCGAAAGCGUGGGUAGCAAACAGG
rnacentral:misc_RNA from 1 species